CCAACUUGAUUUUAUGUUGUGUAAAAGUGGCAGCGGAUAAUCGAAAGAGGUCGGAAGACGAACAGUAUCGACAUUUGGAUGUGGCCUUUUCGUAGCUGGCUGGCGAAUACUAAUUCAGAAGAAGAAGAAGAAGCACAAUUGGAAACCUCAGCAACGUAAGGAAGAACGGAAAGACGAUUCUAUUCUGGAAGAUUACUGAGAUGGCGGUGAUUUUUUUUUGUAGUCAUGAAUGCAGUCAAACGGCUCCGGAUGGAAUUCCGCCGUGCCCGGUUCCCCCCAGCCAGGCAAUUACCGGAACCAAUAUGUACAUGUUAUGUCCAUUUAUGGCAACAGGAAAUAAUCACAUCAUCCUUACAAGGAUUCUGCAAUACUCAUCAGCAAGAGAUCCCGAUAUUGUUUUUAUAAAAAUGAAUGAAGUUUAGUGACAGUGCACGUGUGUGACAACAGUAAUCAAG